rnacentral:lncRNA from 1 species
CAAAGUCUAAAAAAAUUAUUUUAAAAAAAUUAAAAAUCCCCGCGUCCCAUUUUUGGUACCCGCCAAAAUUUUUAAAUUUUUGCGCGACGAAUAUAGGAAUAUUGGUCGCGCAAAGUCUAAAAAAAUUAUUUAAAAAAAAUAAAAAUCCCCGCGUCCCAUUUUUGGUACCCGCCAAAAUUUUUAAAUUUUUGCGUGACGAAUAUAGGAAUAUUGGUCGCGCAAAGUCUAAAAAAAUUAUUUAAAAAAAAUAAAAAUCCCCGCGUCCCAUUUUUGGUACCCG